rnacentral:pre_miRNA from 1 species
CAUCGUGCAGAGGUUUGAGUGUCCUGUGUUUUGCCUAAUCGCAUUCAAUUUCUGAACGGUAGA